rnacentral:rRNA from 1 species
UGAAUACGAGACGCUAAGGCGUCGAAGUAGUGUAUGUCAUACUUCCAAGAAAAGCUUGCACUGUCAUAGAUAAAAAACGCCUGUACCAUAACCGACACAGGUGGGUAGGUAGAGUAUACUAAGGGGCGCGAGAUAACUCUCUCUAAGGAACUCGGCAAAAUAACUCCGUAACUUCGGGAGAAGGAGUGCCUUAUUCGUAAGGUUGCAAUAACAAGAUCCAAGCAACUGUUUAUCAAAAACACAGGUCUCCGCUAAGUCGUAAGACGAUGUAUGGGGGCUGACGCCUGCCCAGUGCCAGAAGGUUAAAGAAGUUGGUUAGCAAUUGCGAAGCUGAUAACUGAAGCCCUGGUGAACGGCGGCCGUAACUAUAACGGUCCUAAGGUAGCGAAAUUCCUUGUCGGGUAAGUUCCGACCCGCACGAAAGGCGUAAUGAUUUGGAUACUGUCUCGGAGAGGGGCUCGGUGAAAUAGACUUGUCUGUGAAGAUGCGGACUACCUGCACCAGGACAGAAAGACCCUAUGAAGCUUUACUGUAACUUGAAAUUGAAAUUGGACUUUAUUCGCGCAGUAUAGGUGGGAGGCGUUGAUUAUAAUCUUGUGGGAUUAUUGGAGCCAUCAGUGAGAUACCACUCUUGUAAUGUUAGAUUUCUAACUUUGAAUCAUUAUCUGGUCAAAGAACAGUUUCAGGCGGGCAGUUUGACUGGGGCGGUCGCCUCCUACGGUAACGGAGGCGUACAAAGGUUUCCUCUGAACGGUUAGAAAUCGUAUCUAGAGUGUAAAGGCAUAAGGAAGCUUGACUGUGAGACCUACAAGUCGAGCAGGGACGAAAGUCGGUCUUAGUGAUCUGACGGUACUGAGUGGAAAGGCCGUCACUCAACGGAUAAAAGUUACUCUAAGGAUAACAGGCUGAUCUCCCCCAAGAGUUCACAUCGACGGGGAGGUUUGGCACCUCGAUGUCGGCUCAUCGCAUCCUGGGGCGGUAGUACGUCCCAAGGGUUGGGCUGUUCGCCCAUGAAAGCGGUACGCGAGCUGGGUUCAGAACGUCGUGAGACAGUUCGGUCCAUAUCCGGUGUAGGCGUUAGAAUAUUGAGAGGAGCCUUCUUUAGUACGAGAGGACCGAGAAGGACAUACCUCUGGUGUACCAGUUAUCGUGCCAACGGUAAACGCUGGGUAGCUAUGUAUGGAGUGGAUAACCGCUGAAAGCAUCUAAGUGGGAAGCCCACCUCAAGAUAAGUAUUCUC